CCCAGAGGUCUUCCGGCUGGUUAUGUUGGGCCACCUCGGCCGGCGUGAAAUAGCGACGUUGAAAAUACUCAAAGUUUGGCCCGGCCACUAGGCCCCGGCUUGGCAUAGCUCUUGCUCUAUUGCUCACUGACUUUAGUUGCUUCCUUGCUUUUCAGCGCGCACGCACUACUGCAUCCUCCCUCGUCCGGUAGCUAAGGCGAGUGCGUUUAUCCGCUGACAUGGAAACCAUUAUUCCUUUCCGGCCACCGUCCUCUGAGAUUAAACGCUGUACAAGCAAAGAGGGGCGUGGGCUGCGGGUACUCAUGGGAAACGUAGUCCGAUCCCGGCGUUCAAGUAGUUGUGUCCUCAGGAUGUCCGAAGAAAGGAACACACUCCGUUUUAACUUAUUCAGUGGUCUGGGCUACAGGGACUCUUUAGGACAGACUAUCUCGCGAGGCAGAGGAAAAAAACGAAGGGGAGGAGUGUAAUUAUGAAAUUGUCGCUAAAUUCCAGUGAGACCGGUAAGAAGCUAGAUAGUUGAAAAAUUCUCGCGAUAUCUUAAUACGUCUGGCGUAAUUGGCCUCCUUGAGCCGCAGCAUUGGUGUAGGAGAAGCUCGCGAGAUCUCUGCAGUUGCCGAAGAGACGAAGAACUGGAGAGGUGAUCUCGCGAAAAAAAAAUAGGUCGGGAGCGCUCGCGAUAUCUCAGACCACCGGACUCAAAGGUUCUUAGGAAGUUGACGGACUUGGAGGAGGCCCGGGAACGAAUGGCCGGAGCUGGACCAACGAUGCUGCUACGAGAGGAAAAUGGCUGUUGCAGCCGGCGUCAAAGCAGCUCCAGCGCCGGGGUUAGCUCGGGUUCUGGGAUUGAGGGGCUGUCGGGGAGCAAGAUGGGGGAACGGAAGGGGAACUGCAGGCCCGGCAGCCUCUGGGCUUCGUGUGAGCGCCCCGUAGGCUGUCGGGAACUGUGGUUCCGCAGACAGGCUGCAGCUGGGCGGCGCGGUCUGAGCGCAUGUCCCGCCCUGCACAGGACUCUGACGGGGAGCGCGAGGAGGACUCGCCGGCUGCGCGCGCUAGGCAGCAGCUGGAGGCGCUGCUCAACAAGACUAUGCGCAUUCGCAUGACAGAUGGACGGACCCUGGUCGGUUGCUUCCUCUGCACCGACCGUGACUGCAACGUUAUCCUGGGCUCGGCGCAGGAGUUCCUCAAGCCGUCGGAUUCCUUCUCUGCCGGGGAACCCCGUGUCUUGGGUCUGGCCAUGGUACCUGGACACCACAUCGUUUCUAUUGAGGUGCAAAGAGAGAGCCUGGCGGGGCCUCCCUAUCUCUGAGCCCUGUCGAACAUGCCUUUCAGUCCUCAUUAAACCUGUAACUGACCGUAAC
rnacentral:misc_RNA from 1 species